rnacentral:rRNA from 1 species
CUACGGGAUGCUCCAGGGAAGAAUAUUGUACAAUGGGGGCAACCCUGAUACAGCAACGCCGCGUGAAGGAAGAAGGCCUUCGGGUUGUAAACUUCUGUGACAGAGGACGAAGAAGAUGACGGUACUCUGAGAGGAAGCUCCGGCAAACUACGUGCCAGCAGCCGCGGUAAUACGUAGGGGGCGAGCGUUGUCCGGAAUCACUGGGCGUAAAGGGCGCGUAGGCGGCCUGUUAAGUUGAAUGUGAAAUCCCAGGGCUCAACCCUGGACGUGCAUUCAAAACUGGCGGGCUUGAGUAUGGUAGAGGAAAGUGGAAUUCCUAGUGUAGCGGUGGCAUGCGUAGAUAUUAGGAGGAACACCAGUGGCGAAGGCGACUUUCUGGGCCAAAACUGACGCUGAGGCGCGAAAGCGUGGGGAGCAAACAGGAUUAGAUACCCCCGUAGUC